AUGUUCUGGGGGUUAGUUGAGCACGUCCCUUCUAAGGAUGUGGUCGAAGGUUCGAAUCCUUCAGGGCGUGCCA
rnacentral:tRNA from 1 species